UGGUGGAGCGGUUUGUCUGGCUAAUUCCGUUACCGAACGAAACCUUAACCUGCUAAAUAGUUACGCGUAACUUCGGUUACGCGGGAAACUUCUUAGAGGGACUUUGCUUGUCUAACGCAAGGAAGUUUGACGCAAUAACA
rnacentral:rRNA from 1 species